rnacentral:rRNA from 1 species
CCUACGGGUGGCAGCAGUCGAGAAUCAUUCACAAUGGGGGAAACCCUGAUGGUGCGACGCCGCGUGGGGGAAUGAAGUUCUUCGGAUUGUAAACCCCUGUCAUGUGGGAGCAAAUUCAAAAGAUAGUACCACAAGAGGAAGAGACGGCUAACUCUGUGCCAGCAGCCGCGGUAAUACAGAGGUCUCAAGCGUUGUUCGGAAUCACUGGGCGUAAAGCGUGCGUAGGCUGUUUCGUAAGUCGUGUGUGAAAGGCGCGGGCUCACACCGCGGACGGCAGAUGAUAUUGGGAGACUAGAGUAAGGGAGGGGGAACCGGAAUUCGCGGUGUAGCAGUGAAAUGCGUAGAUAUCGAGAGGAACACUGGUGGCGAAGGCGGGUUCCUGGACAUUAACUGACGCUGAGGCACGAAGGCCAGGGGAGCGAAAGGGAUUAGAUACCCUUGUAGUC